rnacentral:rRNA from 1 species
GAUGAACGCUGGCGGCGUGCCUAAUACAUGCAAGUCGAGCGAACAGACGAGGAGCUUGCUCCUCUGACGUUAGCGGCGGACGGGUGAGUAACACGUGGAUAACCUACCUAUAAGACUGGGAUAACUUCGGGAAACCGGAGCUAAUACCGGAUAAUAUAUUGAACCGCAUGGUUCAAUAGUGAAAGACGGUUUUGCUGUCACUUAUAGAUGGAUCCGCGCCGCAUUAGCUAGUUGGUAAGGUAACGGCUUACCAAGGCAACGAUGCGUAGCCGACCUGAGAGGGUGAUCGGCCACACUGGAACUGAGACACGGUCCAGACUCCUACGGGAGACAGCAGUAGGGAAUCUUCCGCAAUGGGCGAAAGCCUGACGGAGCAACGCCGCGUGAGUGAUGAAGGUCUUCGGAUCGUAAAACUCUGUUAUUAGGGAAGAACAAAUGUGUAAGUAACUAUGCACGUCUUGACGGUACCUAAUCAGAAAGCCACGGCUAACUACGUGC